rnacentral:rRNA from 1 species
AGAGUUUGAUCCUGGCUCAGGAUGAACGCUGACAGAAUGCUUAACACAUGCAAGCCAACUUGAAUUUGGGUUUUUAACUUAGGUUUGGGUGGCGGACGGGUGAGUAACGCGUAAAGAACUUGCCUCACAGCUAGGGACAACAUUUGGAAACGAAUGCUAAUACCUAAUAUUAUGAUAAUAGGGCAUCCUAUAAUUAUGAAAGCUAUAAGCGCUGUGAGAGAGCUUUGCGUCCCAUUAGCUAGUUGGAGAGGUAACGGCUCACCAAGGCGAUGAUGGGUAGCCGGCCUGAGAGGGUGAUCGGCCACAAGGGGACUGAGACACGGCCCUUACUCCUACGGGAGGCAGCAGUGGGGAAUAUUGGACAAUGGACCAAGAGUCUGAUCCAGCAAUUCUGUGUGCACGAUGAAGUUUUUCGGAAUGUAAAGUGCUUUCAGUUGGGAAGAAAGAAAUGACGGUACCAACAGAAGAAGUGACGGCUAAAUACGUGCCAGCAGCCGCGGUAAUACGUAUGUCACGAGCGUUAUCCGGAUUUAUUGGGCGUAAAGCGCGUCUAGGUGGUUAUAUAAGUCUGAUGUGAAAAUGCAGGGCUCAACUCUGUAUUGCGUUGGAAACUGUAUAACUAGAGUACUGGAGAGGUAAGCGGAACUACAAGUGUAGAGGUGAAAUUCGUAGAUAUUUGUAGGAAUGCCGAUGGGGAAGCCAGCUUACUGGACAGAUACUGACGCUGAAGCGCGAAAGCGUGGGUAGCAAACAGGAUUAGAUACCCUGGUAGUCCACGCC